GUAAUGCGCAGGAAUAUGCCUUAAAGAGGGGGAUAACUUGGGGAAACUCAAGCUAAUACCGCAUAAUUUCUUAGGAAAAAAGCUGGGGACUUUCGAGCCUGGCGCUUUAAGAUUAGCCUGCGUCCGAUUAGCUAGUUGGUAGGGUAAAGGCCUACCAAGGCGACGAUCGGUAGCUGGUCUGAGAGGAUGACCAGCCACACUGGAACUGAGACACGGUCCAGACUCCUACGGGAGGCAGCAGUGGGGAAUAUUGGACAAUGGGGGGAACCCUGAUCCAGCAAUGCCGCGUGUGUGAAGAAGGCCUGAGGGUUGUAAAGCACUUUCAGUGGGGAGGAGGGUUAUUAGGUUAAGAGCUAGAUAUCUGGACGUUACCCACAGAAGAAGCACCGGCUAACUCCGUGCCAGCAGCCGCGGUAAUACGGAGGGUGCAAGCGUUAAUCGGAAUUAUUGGGCGUAAAGCGUGCGUAGGUGGUUAGAUAAGUUAUCUGUGAAAUCCCUGGGCUUAACCUGGGCAGGUCAGAUAAGACUGUUUGACUCGAGUAUGAGAGAGGGUAGUGGAAUUUCCGGUGUAGCGGUGAAAUGCGUAGAGAUCGGAAGGAACACCAGUGGCGAAGGCGGCUACCUGGCUUAAUACUGACACUGAGGCA
rnacentral:rRNA from 1 species